rnacentral:misc_RNA from 1 species
ACGCACAUGGAAUGCCAGUAAAGAACAUUUGCAAAUCGAUCAUAUCACUCGCAGCAAAAUAAGUAAAUAAUUGGAAAUUUUACAUAAACCCUCAUUGGAAUUUAAUACAUGGGGCAUCAUUACGUGACCCUUGCCUAGUGAAAAGGGUACUCGCCCCAAGCUUUUUUAUACAAUGUAAAAAGAAAUUUUGAAGAGGGCCCAGAAUAUCUUGUCUACCGCUGCAGCUGUUUCCAUGACUCGAAUAUGUGACUUUUCAUCAAAUGGUUUCCCCGACUCUAACUUGUGACCACCUAGUCAUGAAGGAGCAAACUAUUGUUGCUCCAAGGCUGACGCUCAACAACCUACAAGCAAUGAUUUAUUUUUCACAAUUCACAAACUCCUGUCAACAAAUUCCCAGAUUCUUUCUUCCAUGUAAACCCGGUCUCUGUGCUGGCGUGGCAUAUGCCGUUCAUCUGGGAAAAUUAGUAGCUCGUAGGGUUUUCCAGCAGCAACUAGCGCAUUCACAAGCCUUGCAGUGUGCCUAAAAUGCACAUUUUCAUCAAUCAUGCCAUGCACCAAUAAUAACUUCCCUUUUAACUUGUGCACAUGAUGCAUCACAGAGCUGUACUUGUAACCAGUAGGAUUCUGAGAAGGCAAUCCCAUAUACUUCUCAGUGUAAAAUGUGUCAUAUCCAUCCCAUGACGUCACAGGCGCUCCAGAGACAGCACAACGGAAGACAUCUGGAAACCUGGCCAGGAUCAUAGAUGACAUAUAUCCCCCAUAGCUCCAUCCAUACAACCCAAUAUGGCCAACUUUUGCUAGCCCUUGUUUGAUAAGCCAUUCAGCUCCGGUAAGCUGAUCCUCAGCAUCAACACAGCCAGCGUUGUAUUUGAGAGCACCUUCAAACUUCAGCCCACGUCGAGCACUUCCUCUAUUAUCCAACUGUAAAUGGUGAAGCAACCAAGACAAGAUACGUUACCCAUCAGGCAUCUAAGCUAGUUACGACAAUGUGCGACUAGUAUAAGGUAUCUCCAAACAUGCAUCUCAAUGAACAAGAUCCAUUCCUUGUCUUUUGUACAUUCAACUGGCGUACAUCUUUUCACACUUCCAUACUAGAAUGCCUUUGCUCCGCAGAUAUUGAGCUCUCAUGUCAACGGUAUUUAACCAAGAAUCACAGACAUAUUGUACACAUGGGCCACCAUACACAUUGAUCAUGGUUUUGUAUGGCGGCGGACCAAAUUUUUUUGGGUCAGGUUUGUACAAAGCACCAUAUAAUAUGGUCCCAUCAUUUGCAUGAACCUCAACUAUCUCUGGAGGGUCAAGUUCAAGCCGUUUAAAUUGUGGAAUGGUGAAUGGCUGUUCAUACAGAGGCAUAAUUACACUUCCAUCAAGCAAGGAGCACAGCAAAACCCUAGGGGGACAGUCAAGGGAAUCAUGAAUAUCAACAAAGUUACGCAUGUGGUGAUCAAGUACAACCACGUGUUUCCCCUUACCAUGAGUUAAUCUCACUGGGCCAAGAAAGUUUGGCUGCCAUCUGCGUAUAGUUUAGUGCAAUAAAGAUUAGAUUCCAAUGGUCCAUCUAGAGUUGCAGUAAAAUACACAAGCCCUGCAGCCUCAUUUACACCAGCAAUUUGCUCAACCAUCCAUUCACCUUCAGUGAUGGGUCCCAAGCAUAAGCCACUUGCGUCAUGGAGAUACAAAUGUCUGAAUCCUGUUUUUUCACUUGCCCAGAUAAAUCCUCCAGAGUAUUUAGUAACACCUUUAUCCAAAGGAGUGAAGCAAUCAUGUAAGUUAACCCAUGUAUCUUGUUCUUCCACCAAUAUAACUUUUCUUUGCCCUGUCUUAAUAUCCAACUUCAGGAUCUUUAAUUUGGAGUGAGACCUGUUCAGAACCUGAGCUAUGAGUAUAUCUCCAUGCAUCCAAUUGACUCUGGUCAAAUAUUCCUCCUCAUUGUCCAGUUCUCCUGUUCCUCCACAGACAAGAUCCAACCAUGUGGUAGGACCACCGGCAACUGAAACUACCCCAAGGCGAACUUUGACAUUUGAAGCUCCCGCAAAAGGAUAAGCAUGAUCUUCCUGUGCCUCUACACCAACAGAACUUUUACCUUGGUGCAUUAUUCUAAAAAGAGGUAUCUCAGAUGAAUCAACUUGUGUGAAUGCAAUGAAUUUGCUGUCCAGUGACCACCAGUAUCCAUUUUUCCUAUCCAUUUCCUCCUGAGCUAUAUAUUCAGCAAGGCCAUGAGUCUGCAGGGGGGGAAAAUAAGUGUGUCAACUUCAAAGCAAAAGAACAAUAAUAGAAUGUCAAGAAUUUAUCCACCUUAAGUUAAAGUGUCUAUUUUAUUCCCAAAAUCUUAUGAAUCAACAGAAAAUUCAAGACAACCUAUCCUAUAGCCUCAGCGAUGCAAUGCCAUGCCACAGACCCUGAUCUAAAAACCCACCUGAAUUUCAAUAUUACACAGAAAACAUAAAAUAAAACAAGAAUGAAAUUGUCAAUGCCCAAAACUAAAUUCCUGUACCACAUUCAGACAAGUGCUCCACAGGUUCUACCAUAUCAUGGUGGCCCUGGUUAAAUUCUGACACAACCUAAGGGAACAAGUAAUGAAAAAUUUAGGAUAAGAAGAGGAAGGGUAUGAACACAGUGUAGUAAGAACAUCUUGAUUCCUUACCUUUUAUAACAUCUACUAUCCUGCAUAUUUUUAAAUAUCAGGCAUGGUGGACACAAAAAGAACCAAAACUGGAAAACAUACUACCAUACUGGCCCAACAUUUAAUGGGCAAGUUGGAUAGUGAUGAACUAAUUGACAGUGAUUUAUUGAAAAUAGGGCCCUGUAUAGAGCUGCAGAUUAAAGAAGAAGCAUGAAGCAAAGCACACCUAGUAAGGAUUUUAAAUGCAUGGUGAAUUGAUUAUAGAGCUGCAUAAAUUAUAUGCUUGAUAACAUAAUUUAUUAAAACACCAAGACAGUUUGAGAAAAUAUUAUUUCUUUCAACCAAACUACAAAAUAUCGUUAACAAAGAAUAAAAAGACACGAUAUAUGUAUGUCAGUCACUAACAUCAUGCAUUACUUGAGAUGAAAUCUAUGCUUAUAACACAUAACAUCCAAUGGUAAUCACAAAGAUCCAACCUUGUACAAAUAUCAGUUAGUUGAAACUUACCACUACAUUUCCCUGGGCACCGUGUGUUAGUUGUUUGGGUUCAUUGUACAAGAGAUUUAAAACAUGCAGCUCACUAUCCUUUACAUAAGCAAGCAUGGUACCAUCAGGGGACAGAUGUGGAUCAAUAAUUGGUGAAAAUGGUGAGCUAGGAAGUUUAAGCUCUGCUUUUGAUGAGAAUAGUUCCUGGAAAUAAAUCCCUGCAGGCAAAGGCACCAUAAUUGCUUUCUUCUUUGAGCUUGUCUUCACACGUUCAUACCGUGUCACUCCCAGCCCCCGUUCCCUUGACCUCUCCCUCCUCAACUUCUCUUCUGGCGAUAUAUUACUCUCAUCAAGUCCACCAUCAAGGGGACUGAAAAACAAUUCCUGCUUUCCAGUCUUGAGAUCAAAAGCAAACACCUUUCUAUUCAAAGUUUGAUCAGGACUAAACAAGUAAGUUAUUAAAGUAUCAUCAGGACUGAAACUGAUUGAUGUGGGUGCACCUUAUCCAGGCAAUGGAGACUGUACAAUCUCCUCAAUACGGGAAAAAAUGCAGUCAUCAAUAUUUUGAGGGGUGAUAGUAUCAGUCACAGGCAUGUUGUUAUUGAAUGAUCUCAAACGCUUCAACUUCUUAAUCUCGUUCUCGUCAACCGAUUGCAUUACAAAACAAGCAACCGGUUUCAAUUAAUUUGCAAGAGAGCAUGAACCAAACCCUGCUAAGAAACUCCAAGGAUUAGCUCGGUAACAAAGCUCUCUCCAUCGCCAAAAAUAAUCAGCUGAACACAAUAAUAAAGCGCAUCGAAUCCGCAAUCAAACAUUUAUUUUAUACAAGAGGAAUUGGAUUCGAAGAAAAAAUAUUGAAUUUACCAGGAAAGGCAAUGGAAAUGAUCAGCUAUGAAAGGGAAAGAUUGAAUCCUGGGCAGAUCGAAUUUUAGGAUAGAGAAUCCGAAAAUGGAUAGGAAUAAGGAAUUGGAUUCUGUGAUUGAAGUUGGAGACAAGGGGCAGAGACCUGUUAAAA